UCGCUUUUCUUGUCGUCCUAGUAACGCUGCUCCGAGAAAGGUAAACUCGAUUCCCUCUUGCUUCUUCACUGCUAUGCUCCGUUUGACGACAUGUAUAUCCGGAAUUCAUGAUUCUCGCGUCUUUGAAGUCUUGUGUGCUUAUGCUUUCAUUUAUCCUGUAUUGUGGCUAUUUGACGAGUAUUCCACAUAAUGCAAAUCUUGACUAUUGUUUGUUUUACUUCCACAAGGCUUGUCUCAGUUCCCUUUCAAAUGGUUCAAAUUCAUUAAGGUUUUGUGUUUAGACAUAUAUCAGUAAGGGCAAGCAUUGUGUUCUAUCUAAGUUCUCUUUGUAAUAUUUUUUUUUUUAAUUUCUUCCUGUUCCAAUAUUUAAAGAAGCAGGUUGUCUUAUUCACCUGGCACUUGAUUAAAUUGUUUAAUAUAUAUAUAUAUGUGUGUGUGUGUGUGUCUUAUCGCUUUAUUUUGGAGAGUUUGAUUAUUAUCUCGAAACAGCCGCAAAUCUGGUUUUUGUUUGUUUAAAUGAAGUUCUUAGUUUCUUAUUUGAUGAAUUUAUCAUUUUUCUUUCUUUCAUUCUUAAAUUUCUAGUUGAAGGCUACGUGGGUAUUUCGUUCAUUUUUGUCAUUAGUUCGAGUUUGGUUUAUGUGUAAGAUGCUAGUUUGAUUUUGGUUUUAAUUUGAGCAAAUCUGUAGGAUAGACUGAUUUUCAUGGCUGUCAAUGUUAGUAGCUCUUUUCUUUUCUCUUGCUCAAAUUUGGGUUUGCCUUUCUGUGUAAAAAUGCUAAAGUUGGUUUGUUGUGAAUUGUUGACUUAGAGGAGUAUUGCAGCGAUUUGAUGGAACUCCUCAUACUCCCUUUUAAAUUAUUGCUUCUUCAUAUUCUCAAUUAGUUCUUCUUAUUGUUUAUCCUUUUUGUUUCUUUCUUUGUGCAUGUAAUCUCUCCGAAUGAGCUCCCGUUGACUCUAGCUUCGGCCUUGCAUUGCUUAUCGGGCCUGUAGGCCCAAAUUUUCUCCUCUAGUCAGCCCUUAAUUACUAGUAACGGAACCGACGAACAGGUCCUUGAAGGCAAAAUGUUGGCUGGAAAUUGAAAUAUGAGCCUCCAAAGGCUCAAAAGUGGGCUGUAUACAGCAGUAUACACUCACACUACCGAGAUACAGGUAAAAAACGCAAUAAAAAACAGGGCUGGAGUGAAAUACAGGUGUUUGGAAGCAAGAAAUACAUAAAAAGGGCUGAUAUACAUGCCGAUAUACAUGCCGAUAUACACUGAUAUACAUCAGCUGUAUACCAAAAACGAGAAUUGUGUUAAACUCCAAAAAGUAGCGAAUUUGGCCCAAGAAAGGCCCAAAUUCAAUUUCUCCCUUACCCGCUAAUUAUUUAAUUGUGAUUACUUAUUAUUUGUUGUUUAACUCUAACUUUAGAAUUUUUAAUUAACUUAGUUGAAUUCCCCAAAAGAUGAACUAUUCAUCUGAGUUGUUUUGUUUCUAACAAAACUUAUUUUA